rnacentral:rRNA from 1 species
UACGUAGGGCGCAAGCGUUGUCCGGAAUUAUUGGGCGUAAAGAGCUCGUAGGCGGCCAGUUGCGUCCGCUGUGAAAUCCCAGGGCUUAACCCUGGGCGUGCAGUGGAUACGGGCUGGCUGGAGGCAGGCAGGGGAGAACGGAAUUCCCGGUGUAGCGGUGAAAUGCGCAGAUAUCGGGAGGAACACCGAUGGCGAAGGCGU